GACUGCUGGAGCGCUUAGAAGUGAGAAUGCCGGUAUGAGUAGCGAAAGACAGGUGAGAAUCCUGUCCACCGAAUGACUAAGGUUUCCUGGGGAAGGCUCGUCCGCCCAGGGUUAGUCGGGACCUAAGCCGAGGCCGACAGGCGUAGGCGAUGGACAACAGGUUGAUAUUCCUGUACCCGUUGUUUUUGUUUGAGCAAUGGAGGGACGCAGGAGGCUAAGAAGUGCAGACUGAUGGAUAUGUCUGUUCAAGCAGUAAGUCUUGGUAGGAGUCAAAUGCUUCUACCUAUACGGACAAGCUGUGAUGAGGAGGGAAAUAAUAGUACCGAAGCUUCUGAUGUCACACUGCCAAGAAAAGCUUCUAGUGAGAAAACAACGGCCCGUACCGCAAACCGACACAGGUAGUCGAGGAGAGAAUCCUAAGGUGAGCGAGAGAACUCUCGUUAAGGAACUCGGCAAAAUGACCCCGUAACUUCGGGAGAAGGGGUGCUGCUCUAACGAGCAGCCGCAGUGAAUAGGCCCAAGCGACUGUUUAUCAAAAACACAGGUCUCUGCAAAAUCGAAAGAUGACGUAUAGGGGCUGACGCCUGCCCGGUGCUGGAAGGUUAAGAGGAGUGCUUAGCGUAAGCGAAGGUA
rnacentral:rRNA from 1 species